rnacentral:rRNA from 1 species
UGAACGCUGGCGGCGUGCCUAACACAUGCAAGUCGAGCGAUUCUCUUCGGAGAAGAGCGGCGGACGGGUGAGUAACGCGUGGGUAACCUGCCUCAUACACAUGGAUAACAUACCGAAAGGUAUGCUAAUACAGGAUAAUAUAAGAGAUUCACAUGGAUUUCUUAUCAAAGCUCCGGCGGUAUGAGAUGGACCCGCGUCUGAUUAGCUAGUUGGUAAGGUAACGGCUUACCAAGGCGACGAUCAGUAGCCGACCUGAGAGGGUGAUCGGCCACAUUGGAACUGAGACACGGUCCAAACUCCUACGGGAGGCAGCAGUGGGGAAUAUUGCACAAUGGGCGAAAGCCUGAUGCAGCAACGCCGCGUGAGUGAUGAAGGCCUUCGGGUCGUAAAACUCUGUCCUCAAGGAAGAUAAUGACGGUACUUGAGGAGGAAGCCCCGGCUAACUACGUGCCAGCCGCGGC